AGGUGGAGAAGCAAAGCCAGAAUGGUUUUACAGGGAUCUGCUUCUCUUCCUCCACAUGCUUCCUCUAGUAACUGGGACACCUUGGGCAUAAAAAGCACCAGGAUGGAAAUACUUCAUAGGAUGUCCAUAUUUCAGUAGUGUCUCCGGAUGGGCAUCAGGAAGGGCUUCCAGCUGUCUAGGAUCCUCAGCACCAAGAAGACCAGAACAAGAGGACCUAUGGGACACCAGUGGGUUCCAUGAAGUGCUGAUAUAUUUUCUAUUUAAUCUCUCUCUGUCACUCUCUUUCUUCCCC